GAGGGCAACUGAGGAGAGUUUCAUAAACACGGCAUAAAGGUCAAGUAAGAUGAGGAGUGAAACACAUCUUGUGGAGCUGGAAAGUAGGAGUUCAUUGGUGGCCUUUGCUGGUGUCACCUUAUUGGUGUGUUCUGGAAAGCAGCCAGCAUACAGUGGGCUGGAAUGGACAGGAAGAGAGUAAGGGGAGAUAAUUUCAAGAAACUUGGCAGAACCUACUGGAAUGCAGCAAACUGAAGACAAAUUUAUGCAUUACCAUCCUCUCAGUGGCAGAAGAAAAACAUGCCUCAUAAUAAGAAGUUGCCAAAAAUUUUUCAUACCAAAUAAUCAACAGUAAAUUAAAAUCAUUCACUGUUUGGGAUAUUCAAAGGCUUGAAGCUGUGACCCAGAAGGGCAACACUGACAUCUCUCUGUGCUGUGAAUCUCCAGUACUAGAAACCCAGGGUCAGGAGGAGACCAGGUCUAAUUGCUCCUGGCAGCCUUUCUGCACAAGUGCCACAUGCAGAGCAAACCCACCUGCGAAUAACCUGCUUUCCUCCUCCAGACCGCUACUGGAGUAAUAGCCAGAACAGUAUUUCACAGCCUGGUAGCUUCCCUUCUCUUACUCCUUUUCCCCUCUUAGGCUUACUCUCCUGGGCUUGCACUCUCCAUUAAACCAAAGUGUUAAUCUUC